rnacentral:rRNA from 1 species
ACCUACGGGGGGCAGCAGUGAGGAAUAUUGGUCAAUGGUCGGGAGACUGAACCAGCCAAGCCGCGUGAGGGAGGAAGGUACAGAGUAUCGUAAACCUCUUUUGUCAGGGAACAAAGGCGGGGACGUGUCCCCGGAUGAGUGUAGCUGAAGAAAAAGCAUCGGCUAACUCCGUGCCAGCAGGCGCGGUAAUACGGAGGAUGCGAGCGUUAUCCGGAUUUAUUGGGUGUAAAGGGUGCGCAGGCGGGCUGUUAAGGCAGCGGUCAAAGCCCGGGGCUUAACCCCGGCCCGCCGUUG